AGCAGCCGCGGUAAUUCCAGCUCCAAUAGCGUAUAUUAAAGUUGUUGCAGUUAAAAAGCUCGUAGUUGAAUUUCGGAGUUUGUCGGUUGGUCGGGCUUCACUGUCCGCACUGGCCUGAUGGAUUCCUACCUUCUGAAUAACCAGCAUGCUAUUAAGUUAGUGCGUUGGGGAAGCAGAGCUAUUACCUUGAAAAAAUUAGAGUGCUUAAAGCAGGCUUUUGCUUGAAUAGAUUAGCAUGGAAUAAUAAAAUAGGACGGCAUGGUUCUAUUUUGUUGGUUUCUAGGAUCACCGUAAUGAUUAAUAGGGAUAGUUGGGGGCAUUAGUAUUCAAUUGUCAGAGGUGAAAUUCUUGGAUUUAUUGAAGACUAACUUCUGCGAAAGCAUUUGCCAAGGAUGUUUUCAUUAAUCAAGAACGAAAUUAGGGGGAU
rnacentral:rRNA from 1 species